UCAAGCAGAGUGAUGGACGACUUAACUCAUCCCCAGGGAACUUUGGAGGUUAUCUGGUGGAAUUUCUGUUGCUGACUUAUUUGUUAAGCCAGAGCAAUCCAAGGAAGGUGGUGUUUGCCUGCAGGGGGAAGGCCCAGGUGCUCCAGUGAUACUAAAAAAGAGGAAUUCCCAAGUCGUGUUCAUAAAACCUGCAGGUGACCUUGGCUGCUUUGCCUGGGUUUCGAACUGAUGUCAAGACCAGAAGGGAGUUCUCAGCGUUGGCAGCCAGAAACCUAGAUGCAGAGAGGUGGGUGCCAGGCAUUGAGCCAAAUGCUUCCCCAGGAAAUCCAAAAGUUCCUGAGAGUCAAGGCUGAAAUCUUUCCCUCCAUGUUUCUAUCUCUUCUUACUUGUCCAAACUGUGAGUUCAUUCUAGUUUAGUGGCCUCAAACAUGGCUUUCUAGUACAAACUUGUAUUUUUAAGUUCUACAGGAUUUUUGCUCCUGGCCCCUCCCUCAAGAUGUGUUUGCUUGAUAUAGCUUCUCAGGGGAGAGGAACCCCAGUUCCACAUGGGGGUGUAGAGGCUGCCUCUUCAAGAGACAGUCCUGGCGGCUGUGGGAAACAGAUUCAGCAAUGGUGACAGUGGAAGGUGCUGG